GGAAAAGAAACCAACAGGGAUUGCCUUAGUAGCGGCGAGUGAAGCGGCAAAAGCUCAAAUUUUGAAAUCUGGCACUUUCAGUGUCCGAGUUGUAAUUUGAAGAAGGUAUCUUUGGGUCUGGCUCUUGUCUAUGUUUUCUUGGAACAGAACGUCACAGAGGGUGAGAAUCCCGUGCGAUGAGAUGUCCCAGACCUAUGUAAAGUUCCUUCGAAGAGUCGAGUUGUUUGGGAAUGCAGCUCUAAGUGGGUGGUAAAUUCCAUCUAAAGCUAAAUAUUGGCGAGAGACCGAUAGCGAACAAGUACAGUGAUGGAAAGAUGAAAAGAACUUUGAAAAGAGAGUGAAAAAGUACGUGAAAUUGUUGAAAGGGAAGGGCUUGAGAUCAGACUUGGUAUUUUGUAUGUUACUCUCUCGGGGGUGGCCUCUACAGUUUACCGGGCCAGCAUCAGUUUGAGCGGUAGGAUAAGUGCAAAGAAAUGUGGCACUGCUUCGGUAGUGUGUUAUAGUCUUUGUCGAUACUGCCAGCUUAGACUGAGGACUGCGGCUUCGGCCUAGGAUGUUGGCAUAAUGAUCUUAAGUCGC
rnacentral:rRNA from 1 species